AGGCUUCGAAUUCCUUGUUCCCUAUAAGACAGGAAUACCCAUCUCUCGACCCGGUAGGCAACUCUUUGAAAGAGAAAAUGGAUUGGCCGGACGACCAGACACAAUAGGAUAGGUGGAUCUGUAUGUUAUGUGUUAGUUGGGGGACUUUCUAGCAGAUUGAACCCCGAAAGGCAGGAGAACGAGCUGGGGUUAACAACUUUUGAGAAACAAAGAAAGCACGACAUUCAAAUCAAAAGUGGCUUCGCCCGUUGGAUCGAGAGAGAGAGCACGGUUAUUAUACUGAUUCGGGAGACUCCAUACUAUAGGAAAA
rnacentral:lncRNA from 1 species